rnacentral:rRNA from 1 species
CUGCUGCCUCCCGUAGGAGUCUGGUCCGUGUCUCAGUACCAGUGUGGGGGACCUUCCUCUCAGAACCCCUACGCAUCGUCGCCACGGUGGGCCGUUACCCCGCCGUCUAGCUAAUGCGCCGCAUGCCCAUCCUCUUCCGAUGAAUCUUUCCUCGAUCUCGGAUGCCCGAAACCGAUAUACGCGGGAUUAGCCUCCCUUUCGGAAGGUUGUCCCUCUGAAGAGGGCAGGUUGCAUACGUGUUACUCACCCGUGCGCCGGUCGCCGG